UUAGUAUUCCUCCGUCCAACAAAGGAUGUCUUAACUUUUACUAAAUUUGAAUGUAUAUAUACACUAAGUUAUGUCUAAAUACAUCCAAAUUUUAACAAACUUGAGACAUCUUUUGUUGGACGGAGGGAGUAGGAU
rfam:Brachypodium distachyon strain Bd21 chromosome 2, whole genome shotgun sequence.